rnacentral:rRNA from 1 species
CUACGGGGCGCUGCAGUGAGGAAUAUUGCACAAUGGGCGAAAGCCUGAUGCAGCAACGCCGCGUGGAGGAUGACGCAUUUCGGUGUGUAAACUCCUUUUAUAUGUCAAGAAAAUGACGGUAGCAUAUGAAUAAGCACCGGCUAACUCCGUGCCAGCAGCCGCGGUAAUACGGAGGGUGCAAGCGUUACUCGGAAUCACUGGGCGUAAAGGACGCGUAGGCUGUUUAGCAAGUCAGAUGUGAAAUCCAAUGGCUCAACCAUUGAACUGCAUUUGAAACUGCUAGACUAGAGUAUGGGAGGGGGAGAUGGAAUUAGUGGUGUAGGGGUAAAAUCCGUAGAUAUCACUAGGAAUACCUAAAGCGAAGGCGAUCUCCUGGAACAUUACUGACGCUAAGGCGUGAAAGCGUGGGGAGCAAACAGGAUUAGAUACCCGCGUAGUC